rnacentral:rRNA from 1 species
AGCGAACGCUGGCGGUAGGCCUAACACAUGCAAGUCGAACGGCAGCACAGUAAGAGCUUGCUCUUACGGGUGGCGAGUGGCGGACGGGAGAGGAAUACAUCCGAAUCUACUUUUUCGUGGGGGUUAACGUAGGGAAACUUACGCUAAUACAGCAUACGACCUACGGGUGAAAGCAGUGGAUCUUCGGACCUUGCGCGAUUGAAUGCGCCGAUGUCGUAGUAGUUAGUUGGCGGGGUGAAGGCCCACCAAGGCGACGAUCCGUUGCUCGUCUGAGAGGACGGUCGCCCACACGGGAACGUGGACACGGUCCUGAGUCCUGCGGUAGGGAGCAGUGGGGAAUAGUGGGCAAUGGGCGCGAGCCUGAUCCAGCCAGAGCGCGUGGGUUGAAGAAGCGUUCGGGUUGGAAAGCCGUUUUGUUGGGAAAAAAAAGCAGCAGGUUAAUACCCCGCUGUUCUGACGGUACCCAAAGAAGAAGCACCGGCUAACUUCGUG